GAUCGCUGGCUUUUGUCUGUUUGAUGUGCAGCCAGCGGGACGUCUUUUUCCCGGGAAACCUGGUGCAGAACAAACAGAAGUGGGAGCGCUCCGGCUGAUUCCUCCCACCGAACGCCAGCAAACAAAUCACAAUCAAAUCUGCCUGCAGAGUUUGCAUGACGCAGGGACUUGAGCGCACUCCCCGUGGCUGCGCGUCACCGCUGCAGGAUCUGCUCUUUCAUUAUUUUCUGCCGUCCUCCCCUCAUUUCUCUCCUCCUUUAAUUUUCUCCCUCGCCGCCUCGUGCUCCGUCUGAACUCGUCUCUCUUUUCGGCUCAUUUGCUCAGACCUGUCGGCUGUCGCCGCCCAUAACUCACCUCCCGUGCUCGCCGCUCGGAGGCUCAGUGCUCACAUCUCUUUUAUUUCCACGACGGCUGCGGCAGACCGCCACGCUCCCUCUGCUGAUCCCGGCAUCGCAUCCAUCCACAUCUGGACCUCUCGCUGCCUCCGGAGGCCCGGAGCAGCCAGAGACGUGAGAGAGUCACUAAUGUGGCCCCGAGUUAGAUCAUCCUGCUAACGGAGGGUCUUCAUCAGGAUAAUGGACUCAUCUCCUCCCUCACUGUCAGUAAAGCUCACGUCUAUUCAUAUAUGUCCAAGAGUUCUUCCGCUGAUGCUCGUUUUCCUGAGGAUCCGUUUGAGUGAAAGUCCAAAGUCUGCGUGUCAACGCUCGGAUUCACCAACAGGAAGUGUCAGAUCCCACGCUGCUCCUCUUUCCUGUGCUGAAGCUGUCUCAGCAUCCAGGAUUACUGAGGGCGGGUGUUAUCAGCCUGUGCUGCAGAGGACUGCUGACUGCUGCGGUCGUCUCUGCUGCUUGUGUCAGAGGUGAAAGGUCACCGCAGCAGAGACUGAGCAUAAAGGCAGGACAGCUGACAUGUGACCUCAUUUACAUGGACGGAUAUCAGCUAAACAAACACACAUUCAGAAGUUACUACUAUGAAUUACAGUUAUGAGUUGUAAUUGUCAGAGAGGGUCAAAGGUCACAUUCCGGCGGCACUGAUAUCCUGCUGUUUUAGCCGUGGUCCUGCUGCUCCCAGUGGUCACUCGUGGCAUUGCAAAAAACCCAACAAACUCACCUGAAGGAAACACCUGUGGACCGCAGACAGCACUGAGCAUGUGCAGAAGGCCACAGUGCAGGUGUUGAGCGCUCAGCUCCAGGUGAACUGGUGGUUUUUAUGUUAACUGGUCAGAUUGGUUUCCAUAUUCUUCUCCGUUUGAGCUUCACGUGUAUCUGCAGCCAGUCAGACGCCUGCUCCUGUCGGACUCUGGGCUUUAUUGGACUCACCUUUCCAGGUGGAACCAGGUCCGGGAACGCCCCGGCUUCCUGCUCCUCCUGCUUCUCUGGUUGGUGCUCUGCUGGAGGGUGUAGCUCGUUUGGAGGCUUGGUGGUUGGAUGAUGUUGUUGGUCCUUUGUGUGUGCAGGUUUUUCUGAAGCAGUUUUCAUGUCUUUGCUUUUUCCGAGUGUCCCACAGUGCUUCCAGGUAUGUCCCGGCUCAGGUAUGGAAAGGUGGAUGAAUGAGACGGAGUUCACGGAUAACAUAAAACUGGAGCAAAUCUGUGUUGUUAGAGGAGUGUGAGUCAGAGAUAUCCUGACUGGAGCAGGGCUCGCCCUCCUCUCUCUCUGGACCUGAACCCUCCGGCCGGCUGUGGUCAGGUCUGCCGGUGUCCAGGUCUCAGGGACACCUGCGCCCCUCCCACAAUGCACCUGGAUGAAGACGAAAGGCCUGACCGCCUCCUCUCUCCCACUGUGUCUCAGCAGAUCAGGAUUAGUCAGGACUACAUCUGGAUCUGAACUUCUACUACCUGGAUUUGGGCCUUUCUGUGCUCUGAUUGGCUCUGCCGAGAAGCUGCUCGUGAUUGGACCACCUGAAUUCGAGGACGUCUGAGGGGGUGCACCCCCGCCUCCUGACUUCCUGUUUGCUUUGCUGCUGUCACUUGAGCAUCCAGAGGCCUCACCUGUCCGUCGCAGCAGAUUUUCACUCUGUAAAAAUCACCUCCAAAAUCAUAGGAAGCAGAUCUGUACCGGAGCCAGGAGCUGCUUGGCGAGCUUCCCCUCGUGUUCCCGGCGUGCAUCAAAUGAGAGGAGAACACAAAGAGCCGAUUUCAGGCGCCAUGACAUCAGGAUUUCACAGAGCUUAACAGACGUGUCACCGUGCCGCCCAAAUCUGAGCCCUGCAGAUCGAUUACAGCGUGGAUUAGCUGUGAGCUCGCUCCACACGCCGUGCAUUAAUGCAACACACUUCAGCUGGAAACAGUCACAGGCCCAAGGGGGCGGAGCCUCCAACAACCAACCUCCAUUCAGCCUCCAUCGUCUGCUUUACACGAUCAGGGGGCCUCUCAGUUACCCUGCUCCAAGGGAUGGUACUUCACUACACACAGACACAC